CUCGUGCCUCCGCCAAGGACACCGAGAGGUUUCUUGAGGCGCAAGGUCCUUCGCCGAGUGACGCCACACCGUGUCCAGGCUGCAGAACGGCGCUGUAGCACGCGGAUCUGGGGCACCAGCUGAAAUCAAUUAGGGCACUAUAGCAACCACCCAAGGACUCGGUGACGGAUGGGCCUCAUGUAUUUAUAGCUGAGUUGUGUUGCAUCAGACACUUUCCCUGCGUCAGAUGAGGUUUUGGCGCACACGUAGGACGUCACCGGCGUGCACAGACGGCCAUGGGCGGGACAGUUUGCAAGCACGAGUCCCACAGACCACAUCAUCAGUAUAAGAACACACACGGAACUCAGGGAGGCCUCUGAAUCGUGUGUGGGCCUCGUUUUCCCUGCUUGAGAAAACCGAUCUGUUUUAAACACGUGCUAAAUAUUACCAUAUUUACAUUUUCCUGUUUGGGAAGGCAGAGAGGGAGUGGGGGGUGCAGACAGAAGAGGUCUCGCACCAGGGUUAGGCGCUGCUUGAAACUGGAAACCCUUUCUGGCUUAUUUGUUUUAUGAUUCUGCAGGAUUCUGUGUUUACACUCAAAGUGCAACAUCUGGAUCAGAUAAUUUGUUGUGAAUUAACCGCCACAGGACACUUACCAACCCCAUCUGAUUCAAUAGGAUUAUAUCUGUUUGAUGGCUUCGCUUGGUUUUUACCAAAUAUUUUCCUAUUGUCAGCAUAUCAGCACGAGAUUUGCAUGGGAGAUGAAGGUUGGGUACUGCAGCGCCACACACACACAUCUAAUUAAAUCCUGGGCUUUUGAUCUGUAAUGGUUCAUUUCAAACUAAAGUGAUUGGUGGCUUUGUGCCGGCAGCCCUGUGCGGUCCAGAGGUCAUGGCAGGAAACA